rnacentral:rRNA from 1 species
UACGGGGGGGGCAAGCGUUGUUCGGAAUUACUGGGCGUAAAGGGCUCGUAGGCGGCCAACUAAGUCAGACGUGAAAUCCCUCGGCUUAACCGGGGAACUGCGUCUGAUACUGGAUGGCUUGAGGUUGGGAGAGGGAUGCGGAAUUCCAGGUGUAGCGGUGAAAUGCGUAGAUAUCAGGAAGAACACCCGUGGCGAAGGCGGCUCUCUGGAACGCAACUGACGCUGAGACGCGAAAGCGUGGGGAGCAAACAGG